rnacentral:rRNA from 1 species
UACGUAGGACCCGAGCGUUAUCCGGAUUCACUGGGUGUAAAGGGUGUGUAGGCGGGCGUGCGCGUCCGGGGUGAAAGGUUCCGGCUCAACCGGAAACAUGCCUUGGAUACGGCACGUCUUGGGUGCGGGAGGGGACGGUGGAAUUCCUGGGGUAGCGGGGAAAUGCGUAGAGAUCAGGAGGAACACCAGUGGCGAAGGCGGCCGUCUGGCCCGCAACCGACGAUGAAACACGAAAGCGUGGGGAUCAAACAGG